rnacentral:rRNA from 1 species
ACGCUGGCGGCGUGCCUAAUACAUGCAAGUCGAACGGCUUUUCUAUGGAAGCUUGCUUCCACUGAGAAGAUAGUGGCGAACGGGUGAGUAACACGUGGGUAACCUGCCCAUAAGAGGGGGGAUAACGAUCCGGAAACGGGUGCUAAUACCGCAUAGUUUUCUUGAUCGCAUGAUUGAGAAAGGAAAGACGGCCUUUGUGCUGUCGCUUAUGGAUGGACCCGCGGCGUAUUAGUUAGUUGGUGAGGUAACGGCUCACCAAGACGAUGAUACGUAGCCGACCUGAGAGGGUGAUCGGCCACAUUGGGACUGAGACACGGCCCAAACUCCUACGGGAGGCAGCAGUAGGGAAUCUUCCGCAAUGGACGAAAGUCUGACGGAGCAACGCCGCGUGAGUGAAGAAAAGGUUUUCGGAUCGUAAAACUCUGUUGUCAGAGAAGAACAAGUUGGAGAGUAACUGCUCCAGCCUUGACGGUAUCUGACCAGAAAGCCACGGCUAACUACGUGCCAGCCGCAGC